CAAUAGCGUAUAUUUAAGUUGCUGCAGUUAAAAAGCUCGUAGUUGGAUUUCGGGUGGGAAUGGCCGGUCCGCCGUUUCGGUGUGCACUUGCUACGCCCACCUUGCUGCCGGGGACGUGCUCUUGAGUUCACGCUCGGGACACGGAGUCGGCGAGGUUACUUUGAGUAAAUUAGAGUGUUCAAAGCAGGCCUACGCUCUGAAUACAUUAGCAUGGAAUAACACGAUAGGACUCUGGCCUAUCUUGUUGGUCUGUAGGACCGGAGUAAUGAUUAAGAGGGACAGUCGGGGGCAUUCGUAUUUCAUUGUCAGAGGUGAAAUUCUUGGAUUUUUUAAAGACGAACAAUUGCGAAGGCAUCUACCCAGGAUGUUUUUGUUGA
rnacentral:rRNA from 1 species